rnacentral:rRNA from 1 species
GGGGAAUAUUGCGCAAUGGGGGAAACCCUGACGCAGCGACGCCGUGUGAGGGAAGAAGGCUUUCGGGUCGUAAACCUCUGUCGGGAAGGAAGAACCCCCCAGGUCCGAAUAGGGCCUGGGGCUGACGGUACUUCCAAAGGAAGCACCGGCUAACUCCGUGCCAGCAGCCGCGGUAAUACGGAGGGUGCAAGCGUUAAUCGGAAUCACUGGGCGUAAAGGGUGUGCAGGCGGAUAUUUAAGUGAGAUGUGAAAGACCCGGGCUUAACCCGGGCAGUGCAUUUCAAACUGGAUAUCUAGAGUGCAGGAGAGGAGAACGGAAUUCCUAGUGUAGCGGUGAAAUGCGUAGAGAUUAGGAAGAACACCAGUGGCGAAGGCGGUUCUCUGGACUGUAACUGACGCUGAGGCACGAAAGCGUGGGUAGCAAACA